CGUAGUCGAUGGGAAACAGGUUAAUAUUCCUGUACUUGGUGUUACUGCGAAGGGGGGACGGAGAAGGCUAUGUUGGCCGGGCGACGGUUGUCCCGGUUUAAGCGUGUAGGCUGGUUUUCCAGGCAAAUCCGGAAAACCAAGGCUGAGGCGUGAUGACGAGGCACUACGGUGCUGAAGCGACAAAUGCCCUGCUUCCAGGAAAAGCCUCUAAGCAUCAGGUAACAUCAAAUCGUACCCCAAACCGACACAGGUGGUCAGGUAGAGAAUACCAAGGCGCUUGAGAGAACUCGGGUGAAGGAACUAGGCAAAAUGGUGCCGUAACUUCGGGAGAAGGCACGCUGAUAUGUAGGUGAAGCGACUUGCUCGUGGAGCUGAAAUCAGUCGAAGAUACCAGCUGGCUGCAACUGUUUAUUAAAAACACAGCACUGUGCAAACACGAAAGUGGACGUAUACGGUGUGACGCCUGCCCGGUGCCGGAAGGUUAAUUGAUGGGGUUAGCGGCAACGCGAAGCUCUUGAUCGAAGCCCCGGUAAACGGCGGCCGUAACUAUAACGGUCCUAAGGUAGCGAAAUUCCUUGUCGGGUAAGUUCCGACCUGCACGAAUGGCGUAAUGAUGGCCAGGCUGUCUCCACCCGAGACUCAGUGAAAUUGAACUCGCUGUGAAGAUGCAGUGUACCCGCGGCAAGACGGAAAGACCCCGUGAACCUUUACUAUAGCUUGACACUGAACAUUGAGCCUUGAUGUGUAGGAUAGGUGGGAGGCUUUGAAGUGUGGACGCCAGUCUGCAUGGAGCCGACCUUGAAAUACCACCCUUUAAUGUUUGAUGUUCUAACGUUGGCCCCUAAUCGGGGUUGCGGACAGUGUCUGGUGGGUAGUUUGACUGGGGCGGUCUCCUCCUAAAGAGUAACGGAGGAGCACGAAGGUUGGCUAAUCCUGGUCGGACAUCAGGAGGUUAGUGCAAUGGCAUAAGCCAGCUUGACUGCGAGCGUGACGGCGCGAGCAGGUGCGAAAGCAGGUCAUAGUGAUCCGGUGGUUCUGAAUGGAAGGGCCAUCGCUCAACGGAUAAAAGGUACUCCGGGGAUAACAGGCUGAUACCGCCCAAGAGUUCAUAUCGACGGCGGUGUUUGGCACCUCGAUGUCGGCUCAUCACAUCCUGGGGCUGAAGUAGGUCCCAAGGGUAUGGCUGUUCGCCAUUUAAAGUGGUACGCGAGCUGGGUUUAGAACGUCGUGAGACAGUUCGGUCCCUAUCUGCCGUGGGCGCUGGAGAACUGAGGGGGGCUGCUCCUAGUACGAGAGGACCGGAGUGGACGCAUCACUG
rnacentral:rRNA from 1 species